CCAACCAACCAUCACCCACCAACUGACCCCCACCCAUCGACAGACCACUAACCAACUGUCAAAUUCACAGAUCACUCUAAUCAGGAGUCAAAGUGAAUCACAUACCAUGAAGAAUGAACCCAAGAAUUGAGAAGAAUCCAAAAAAGACACAUGCGUUUGCAAUGGAGCUCAGUGGACCGAGGCUUCUCACUUUCCUCACAUACGUUUGCAGGAGGAAAAUUGUUUCUGAUACUGAUCACUACUGCCCUCGUAGGAGCAAUGGUAGGUGGAGUUCAUGAUUUGAUCGAUCGCAGCCUUCUUACACUUCACA